UACGGAGGGGGCGAGCGUUAUUCGGAAUUAUUGGGCGUAAAGGGCGCGUAGGCGGCUGGGCAAGUCAAAGGUGAAAUCCCUCGGCUCAACUGAGGAACUGCCUUUGAAACUGCCUGGCUUGAGGCCGGGAGGGGGUAGCGGAAUUCCCAGUGUAGCGGUGAAAUGCGUAGAUAUCUGGAGGAACACCGGUGGCGAAGGCGGCAUCCUGGACCAAUUCUGACGCUGAGGAGCGAAAGCCAGGGGAGCAAACGGG
rnacentral:rRNA from 1 species